AUUAUCAUAUCGUUCUUUUACAAUCAGAGUGCCAAACUGUGCGGUUGAGCUAUUAUUGUCCUGUGAAUAUUUCUGCUUGAUAUAUUCGUGUUUGAUCUUUCAUCAUUAUAAUGGGAUCAAUAGGACUCGUCCUGGAAGAAAGCAACCAAUUGAAUAUAUCACUGACCGCUACAAUUGCAUCGGAUAUUGUGCUGCUCGUCAUUCGUGUGGCACAGGUUCCAAAUGUCAAGUAGAUACUUUGGUAGCUCGAUAGCGUUUCUCUGUAGAGAUUCGUCCAUUCGUCGUCAUCCUGGAGGAAAGCAAUGCGCAUCAAGCAUCUUUUAACAAACCUCUGCAAUUUUUAAUCGAUGCGACUGCUCGAAUCCUAUUACGUUACCGGUUGCGUAACUGAACUGUGCUAUGUUCUCGCACUCAUUUUAUAGCGUUGCGCUUUAAAAAUUUACGUGUUCUAUGAUUGACACGUAAUGCUGGUAUCCAUUUCUAUGGAAGGUACGACUGAAUAUGUCUUACUUCAUGCAUUUACUGCGCGUCAAGCAACUUCUUACUUACUUUCGUCGUUGCAAUUCGCAGCGAUUACGCGCAUCCGAACCUGCCGAUAGCGGAACCUGAGCUGCUGCCACACUUUUUUACAAGUGGGCACCGUGCUACGUAGCCCGGCAGCUAUUGCACCCCAUGCCCUGGCAGUAAGGCUGUUAUUGCCAUAAUAUAUAUGUUUUGUCUGCCAGAGCAAGGGGUGUUUUUAAUGCAGCGCAAAAGCUGCAGUUUUUGGCUACGGGUUAAGGCCUUACAAAAAAAAGACAAAUCAUGAAUUAGUAAUGUAUAUAGAUAGUCAUAUGUUUGCGAUUUUAUUAAAAUCCAUACGAGACAUCUGAAAAUUUAUGACUGCAAAAACACAAACCACACAGGCGUGAAAUUGCAAAAAUACUGCUAGUUGCUAUCUUCGUGUAACUGCAACCGGAAUAGUGGCUCAAUUACUUUUGUUGAAUAAAUAAAUAAUUCAGCAAAACAAUAAUUCCUAGACCUCACAAAACAUUUAAAUUUAUGCGUUCUCAAACCGUCCGAUC